AGAACCACUUAUAAUCAAUUAAAAUGUCCAGUGAUAUUUAAUGAACAAACAAUAAUAAUUUAAGACCAUGUCGGUAGUCGGUGCAUUAACGUAAAACUAUUCUUUAUCUACGGUUAGUAUAUACAUAUACCUACGAUAUGCGUGUAAAUACAACUGAAACAUUAAAAGAAAAAUGUCCCCAUGCACUUUAUUGCCCCUAAAAAAUGCUGACUCUUAUAUAAUUCAAACUUAAAUUCAUUAUUAUUAAUAUUCGGUGUGAUGGUAUUCAAAAAUUCAAAAAUUAAAUAAAAGAAAAGAUUUAAUUUUAAAUCAGAGGAUAGCGUAGUAGGUAUCUGAGUAACUUUAAAAAAAAAAUAUGUAGUUAUGAUUUGAAUUAGUGUAGGUAAAAUUAUAGUUCCCAAAUAUCAAAUACAGAUAAAAAAGAUAUCCAAUCUGCAUAAUAAUAAUUUUAUUAUAAUAUGUAACCAGUGGAAAUUAUCUAUAAACAAAAAAAAUUUUUUGAUUUCCAUCGUGAUUAUCAAAAUUGAGAAUUUUGUAAAAUCCUUUUUUAGUGCUCCCCUACAUAGUGGAAAGAAGGUACCAUGUAUAUAUUAAGUCUAGCUACCUAUCAUAGUUUAGGCUCUUCAUUUAUCAGUGAGAGUCAGGGCCGCAUUUAUAGGGGGGGCAUUGGCUACAAUUUCCACAGGCGCCAGUAUUUUGGGGGUGCCAACAUUUUGUGGUCGGAAAUUUGUACCCUUGUCAAUAAUUGAAACUUUUAAAAGGGGGUGGAGUAGCCGAGCAGACUAGUUUAAAAAAAUUUAUUUUUGUUUUGUUCAUAUUAAUAAUAAUAAUAUAUUAUAUCCAUUUUUUUCUUAUUAGGUAUAUUUUCUUAUAUUAUGUACCUAUAAAAUGUAUCUACUGUAGAAUAUUAUUAGGUAGUUAAGUUUUAGUAAUUUCAAGAUAAAGGAAACAACAAUAAUUACUCCUUAAUAUUGCCUUGAAAAAAUAUUUUCCUAUUUAUAUAUUUAAAUAAUCGAUGUUUCUGAAUGUGUUAAGGUUGUUUGUUAUGUCACAUGUGUGAGGCCGGGAAGGACUAGGAGACAAUGGUCUUCAGGCUAUGUGUUCUUGAAAAAUUAAUUAUGAACAUAUGUAAAGCGUAACAAAUUCAAAAAAUGUUUAUCACACUUGAGUAUAUUUAUUGGUUUACUGAUUGGAUGAUGGCUAUGCAAGAGAUAUGUCACUAUAAUUGGUUACGUUCGUUCAUGGAAACUGUGUAAUGGCGCAGGUGAAAUUCCAACCCUCCGACGAAACGAAAUAAUAACAGAAAAAAAACUACCUAUUAAAAACUCUAUAUACCACGGCACCACGGCACCGGCAUUUCCAUGUCAUAACAUCGAUUGCAAUGGAGUCCACACGUAAACCAGGUGCAAAGUAGUUAUCUAUUAUAUUUUUAUAACCCCCACCGGCGCGUUUUAUAAAUUACACUGUUUUAGGUCUACCGCAUUCAAUACUUAUACCUAACUGUAUGACUAUAUUAUAUAUUUAUUUUAUAUUUUAUAUUAUAAUGUUCGAUUCGUUCAUCUUGCACCACCUACAUACACUAUAAUUAUUAUUACUAUAACGAAUACAUUCAAAAGUUAUUAAUGAGGUCAAUGACCAAUGGUUAUCCUGGUCCAUAUUUUAGAGCUAGUCCAAGUCCAACCCUGUAUACGUAAAGAAUUUUUCGAUUACGCAACGACGUAUACACUUUUUAUAAUAUUCUUUAUGAAUUUUGUUAUUGUUUUAGACGAAUCAUUUCAUUCAGUCUCUGUUUUUGUCGUAUGAAAAGACGAAAGAUCCAUUCAUGCUGCACAUGGGAAGCACAUUUAAAUACUAUACGCACUUCACGUCAAUCGCGACGACGAUGAAAAAAACUAAUCCAAUUCAGUGGGGUCGUAGAUAUAUAUACAGCCUUUACACGCAUACAUAACAAUAUAUAGUGUUUCAUCGUCUCUGCUCGCUAUAAUAGUUCUUUUAAAACAAACAAAUUAAAACUACCGCUGCUGCAGCAAUGAAGAAAGGAACUAUAUUAUUAUGCAUAUAUACAAUAUAGACUAUGAGUAUUAU
rnacentral:lncRNA from 1 species